GGGACCGGGGAGUGUCCCCACUGGACCCCCAGACCAGGGAAUUUAAACUAGGGUGACCUUGACAUCAGGAUUGCGGGCAGGAUGUUGAAGCCAACCUGCCUGGCAGUUCAACAACCACUUAUUGACUACCUACUGUAUGCCAGGGAAAAUGUUAACUUCACUGGAAUCAGCA